UACGUAGGGUGCGAGCGUUGCCCGGAUUUAUUGGGCGUAAAGGGCGCGUAGGCGCCACGCACGUCCGUUGUGAAAUCGCCCGGCUCAACUGGGCGGGGUCGGCGGAUACGGCGUGGCUGGAGCAAGCUAGGGGGCAAUGGAAUUCCCGGUGUAGUGGUGGAAUGCGUAGAUAUCUGGAGGAACACCGAUGGCGAAGGCGGCAUCCUGGACCGGCAUUGACGCUGAGGCGCGAAAGCCAGGGGAGCGAACAGG
rnacentral:rRNA from 1 species